UGGGGAAUUUUGGACAAUGGGCGAAAGCCUGAUCCAGCAAUGCCGCGUGUGUGAAGAAGGCCUUCGGGUUGUAAAGCACUUUUGUCCGGAAAGAAAUCCUUGGCUCUAAUACAGUCGGGGGAUGACGGUACCGGAAGAAUAAGCACCGGCUAACUACGUGCCAGCAGCCGCGGUAAUACGUAGGGUGCAAGCGUUAAUCGGAAUUACUGGGCGUAAAGCGUGCGCAGGCGGUUUGCUAAGACCGAUGUGAAAUCCCCGGGCUCAACCUGGGAACUGCAUUGGUGACUGGCAGGCUAGAGUAUGGCAGAGGGGGGUAGAAUUCCACGUGUAACAGUGAAAUGCGUAGAGAUGUGGAGGAAUACCGAUGGCGAAGGCAGCCCCCUGGGCCAAUACUGACGCUCAUGCACGAAAGCGUGGGGAGCAAACAGGAUUAGAUACCCUGGUAGUCCACGCCCUAAACGAUGUCAACUAGUUGUUGGGGAUUCAUUCCUUAGUAACGUAGCUAACGCGUGAAGUUGACCGCCUGGGGAGUACGGUCGCAAGAUUAAAACUCAAAUGAAUUGACGGGGUCAUAGCUGUUUCCU
rnacentral:rRNA from 1 species